GAUGAAGAACGUAGCGAAAUGCGAUAAGUAAUGUGAAUUGCAGAAUUCAGUGAAUCAUCGAAUCUUUGAACGCACAUUGCGCCCCCUGGUAUUCCGGGGGGCAUGCCUGUUCGAGCGUCAUUUCACCACUCAAGCCUCGCUUGGUAUUGGGCAACGCGGUCCGCCGCGUGCCUCAAAUCGACCGGCUGGGUCUUCUGUCCCCUAAGCGUUGUGGAAACUAUUCGCUAAAGGGUGUUCGGGAGGCUACGCCGUAAAACAACCCCAUUUCUAAGGUUGACCUCGGAUCAGGUAGGGAUACCCGCUGAACUUAAGCAUAACAAUAAGCGGAGGA
rnacentral:misc_RNA from 1 species